rnacentral:lncRNA from 1 species
UUUACCUUCAAUUUUUUUAUUAUUUAAUAAAAAAAGACAUCUAUGAGGGGUAUAUAGGUAAAAUAUUAUCUCAACAAAAGAGAUUCCAACAAUUGCAUCAUCAUACCGACCGUCCCUAGAGCAAGUGGCGAAGGGUUUGCUGGUUGGUACCCGAGGUCCCAAGUUCGAAUCCUAGUUGAUUCAUAUUUUCAGCUAAGUUUAUUUCUAAAUGAAAUAAACGAAGCGGGUAGCGUGCUACCUAUCUCUCUCUCAAAAAAAAAAAAAAAAAAAA